rnacentral:rRNA from 1 species
CCUACGGGGGGCAGCAGUAGGGAAUCUUCCACAAUGGGCGAAAGCCUGAUGGAGCAACGCCGCGUGGGUGAAGAAGGUCUUCGGAUCGUAAAACCCUGUUGUUAGAGAAGAAAGUGCGUGAGAGUAACGGUUCACGUUUCGACGGUAUCUAACCAGAAAGCCACGGCUAACUACGUGCCAGCAGCCGCGGUAAUACGUAGGUGGCAAGCGUUAUCCGGAUUUAUUGGGCGUAAAGGGAACGCAGGCGGUCUUUUAAGUCUGAUGGGAAAGCCUUCGGCUUAACCGGAGUAGGGCAUUGGAAACUGGGAGACUUGAGUGCAGAAGAGGAAAGUGGAAUGCCAUGUGUAGCGGUGAAAUGCAUAGAUAUAUGGAAGAACACCAGUGGCGAAAGCGGCUCUCUGGUCUGUAACUGACGCUGAGGUUCGAAAGCGUGGGUAGCAAACAGGAUUAGAUACCCUUGUAGUC